rnacentral:rRNA from 1 species
UGCGUAGGUGGCCAAGCAAGUCAGAUGUGAAAUCCCCGGGCUUAACUCGGGUGCUGCAUUUGAAACUGCGUGGCUUGAGUGCAGGAGAGGAAAGCGGAAUUCCUAGUGUAGCGGUGAAAUGCGUAGAUAUUAGGAGGAACACCAGUGGCGAAGGCGGCUUUCUGGACUGUAACUGACACUGAGGCACGAAAGCGUGGGGAGCAAACA